rnacentral:rRNA from 1 species
CUGCAAGUCGAGCGGACAGAUGGGAGCUUGCUCCCUGAUGUUAGCGGCGGACGGGUGAGUAACACGUGGGUAACCUGCCUGUAAGACUGGGAUAACUCCGGGAAACCGGGGCUAAUACCGGAUGGUUGUUUGAACCGCAUGGUUCAGACAUAAAAGGUGGCUUCGGCUACCACUUACAGAUGGACCCGCGGCGCAUUAGCUAGUUGGUGAGGUAACGGCUCACCAAGGCGACGAUGCGUAGCCGACCUGAGAGGGUGAUCGGCCACACUGGGACUGAGACACGGCCCAGACUCCUACGGGAGGCAGCAGUAGGGAAUCUUCCGCAAUGGACGAAAGUCUGACGGAGCAACGCCGCGUGAGUGAUGAAGGUUUUCGGAUCGUAAAGCUCUGUUGUUAGGGAAGAACAAGUGCCGUUCAAAUAGGGCGGCACCUUGACGGUACCUAACCAGAAAGCCACGGCUAACUACGUGCCAGCAGCCGCGGUAAUACGUAGGUGGCAAGCGUUGUCCGGAAUUAUUGGGCGUAAAGGGCUCGCAGGCGGUUUCUUAAGUCUGAUGUGAAAGCCCCCGGCUCAACCGGGGAGGGUCAUUGGAAACUGGGGAACUUGAGUGCAGAAGAGGAGAGUGGAAUUCCACGUGUAGCGGUGAAAUGCGUAGAGAUGUGGAGGAACACCAGU